AAGAGAAGGCAUACAUUUUUCCAAAGGAUACUUUACCAUGUGUUUACCUAAAGGUAUUUGGAGAGCAUAAAAAUGAUAUUUCUAAAACCUAGAAGAUACCACCGUGAGAAAACGAGUGAUGCUGUAGCAUUGAAUCAGUACCGCGCCAUACGUUGAACAUGCAAAAUGUAUAUGGCAUGGCAUUUUGCAAAUGUCAUCUCAAGAAAAA
rnacentral:lncRNA from 1 species